rnacentral:lncRNA from 1 species
CAAGCUAGAUGACAGAGUGGACCGGAACUGCGUUGGAGCACUGGAAGAUUCACGUCGCCGACUGUUAACAUCAAGCUCACCGGAGGAGAUUGCCGUCCAGAGCCCUGAAAUUAUCGGCUGUUCAGCAAUGAAGAACAGGCCCGCCAGAAUCAAGUUUAAACCCAAGAGGCUGGACGAUUUCAUUGUUAAUUAGGCUAGUCUAUUUGGUUAAAGAAUUAGACUUAUUUUAAUUGUUGCAUUAUCUCUACAGAACUCUUUAAUUAGUGUGUUCUAUGAGUUUGUACCCUAUAAAAGGGAAGUACUUUUUAUUUGGAAUUAAUUAAGAAUUUGGUUACAAAAAUCCAAACGGAUUUAGGGUUGCAGCAACCCAAUUUUCAGACUAUUAUUGUUCUAUUGAAUCCUCCUAGGAUCUGCCGCCCCCAUCUUCUGCUCUGCUUUUAUUAGUGGUGUUUUCAACUCCUUUCGCCAGCGUGGUGCUACUUCUGCCAUGUAGCUCCAAGUUAUCUGUAGAAGAUCAUCAUCAGAAGGAUUAAUAUUCCUUGAAAAUACUGGAAAAAAAACUCUGCUAAACAGAUCCACGACAAGGACGUACCCUACUCUCUAUUUACAAUAUUAAGCAUAUAUCGAACAGAUCUAUCAUUGCAGAUCAAGAAAGAAAGAAAAAAGAAGAAGAAAACAAGAGGACUUGUAUUCCAAAAAAAUACUAAACAACUCUUUAAAAACGUGUUCUGUGUUUAACAGAUUCUUUAAAGGGACGUUUCUACAUACCCUUAUAUAUUCUUGAUAUAAUUUUUAUUCAAAAAAAAAUUAAUUUCAGAUUUCAUAAUUCUGAGAUGGCUGAACCAGUUGAAAC